rnacentral:lncRNA from 1 species
GACACGGCCGCUGCCAGUCCAACGCGCCACGCCGCGCUUAGGCCCGAGCGCCACCAGCGUCCGCCGCUGCCGCUGCUGCUGCCGCCUCCUCCAACGCCGUUGCUGCUACUGCCGCAGUCGCCGCGACUACGCCGCUGCUGCUGCCGCCGAUGCCGCCGCGCCGGGGAGCGCCACCACCACGCCAAGCCGGCCCGGGCCCGGGCCCUCUGACGAGCAACCCAAACCCGAAGCCGGAGACGCCGCAGGUGCUGCUGAUGGCGGGAGCCGCUUACGAGGCCUCCUCCUUGGCAGCCUCCUUGGCCUUCUUGGCGCGGGGGCCCACCUGCCGUACGUUCAUGCGCUCCAGGCGCAGCUUGGCGUAGGCGGUGGCCUUGAUCUCGGCCAGCUCCUUGCCCGCGGUGGCCUUCAUCUCGCUGGUGACCUUGACGGUCUCCAGCGCCGGCGCGGCCUUGACCAGGGGCAGGACCACGGCGCCCUUGACCUGGGCGACCGCGUUCGCCUCGGCCAGAGGGGUCUCGAAAGCCUUCGGCUUCUUGACGUUGCGCGGGAAGACGACCAGGUUGCUGCGGUAAGCCUUCAGACGCUGAGCGUUCUCCUGCAGGCUCUCCAGCGACUUGUUGCGGCGGCGGUGGUCGAUGGCGAUGCCCAGGCUGGCCGCCAUGCGCACAGGGAUCCCAGCCUCCUUCAGCUCGUCCAGGGUGAAGCCCUUGCCAAUGCGCUGCUUGGUGUUGUACUUCAGGGUCUGGCCGCGAACAAUGGGGCGCAGCAGGCCGGCGGCCGGGCGAGGGAACUGAGCCUCGGCCUUCUUAGCGCGAGCAGCCCGGCGGCGCUCCUUGCGAGCAGGCUGGUUGAACCAAGUCUUCACAUAGAACUGCCACUUCUUCUUGAAGUGGUUGUUCGGGACAACGUUGUUGUGCCGCACCAUUUUUGCUCAGUGACUGCAGUGAGUGUGGCGGCGGCGCCUGGAAAGAGGGAGUGUAUGUGCAGGCAGGGCGUGUAUAUCGGCGCGGCCAUCGGGCGCUGCACGGCAGCGCGAUGCUGCGAGUUUGCCUGCGCUCGCUGCCCCCCGAUUUCGGCUGCCACAAACCUUGCCCCCUGCGCGCUCUGCACAUACUAUUGAAACCUCCCCACAAAGGCCUAUCUAGCCAUGAAUUUCUUAGGGCCUGCCUCGCUGCCCUGGAGAAAUCAGGAGGUCGCUCCUUGCUGGAGCCCUUAAUUUCACCCAUUGCUGGCACGAACGGGGUUAUAACGAGCUAAGGGUGUAUUCCUAAUUUUUAGAGGCCUGAAAGGCGCCUUCCCCGGGUUGAGGCAUUCUGUAUUUGGGUUCGGUGCGGACAGGAAAGGCAGGCAUGUGGAACCUUUUCCUGCGUAAUCUUAGGUGCAAAUAGCGCCUGAAAUGCUUGGCCAAGCUUUUGGGUCCGCCUUCGGCGGCACGAAUGCUGGCAAGAAUGGCCGUCGCGGUGUUGCGAACAACGUGUCGACGGCAAGGGGUAGUCUGCAAUGGCUGUGGGAGGCUACUCAGGGGCACUGAGCGCAUCGGUGCGCGAACAGGCGCUUGCACCGGGGGUUUACUAGUGACCGGGUGCCACAGACUCCGCAGACCCCGACUCCCACGCCACUCCUUCCCUGCUCCGUGCCAAACGCCUGUCCAUGUCAUGGAGUCACCUGCUUCUACUGUGCUGCCACACAGCUGUAAGCACGCACGGUUCAGGCCUACGGGGCACGGCGUGUGAGCAUGCGCGGGCAUGGGCGCGGGCGUGCGUGCCUGCGUGGCAGCCUGCCCCCGGCCGCAUUGUGCUGCCACGCACAGUCACUUCUAGCCCAGAUCCAGCUCCAGUCAGCCAGCAAGCCCAAGGUCCCAUCGGCCCAUCCCACCUAGCAUCUGUGUGUAUUUGGGGGGGGCGGCACCGUGCCGCCUGUGCCCUGCAAGCCCUACCCUGUAGCUUGGCCCUGCUGCCCCCCCUGCCCCCCUGCCCUACCUGUGGCCUGGCCCCGCUGCGGCUGCGCCAAGCUCUUCCCCCGCUCCAAGGCCCCACGGCCCCACCCAUGCCACGCCACCUCAGCUCACAAGUGCCCGUGGCUCCUGCAUCCCAAGCGCUGCAACACCCGCGGCUUGCCCGCCACGGACGCACGUCCACGCAUCUCAUCCCCACAAUCCCCAGCCAACACAGCAGGGGUUAUGUGCCCGAGCCCAACGAGAUAGGUCCCAAUAGUCAAGGCAUUGCCGCAGCAAAGGUGAGCAGGCAUGGCCUUUUCCUCCCCUCAUGCCUCGGCUACGUAGCUGCAAGCCGAGCCGCCAGCUACCAAUAGUCAGCAGAUCAUCGCAGCAGGGGCGAGCCGGCGUGGCCUUUGCACUCCUCAGGCUAGCUGCACGCCGAGCCACCGAGCGUAGCCAAAUUCCUCAGCCGACGUACAAAGCAGGCACGGUCUUUCCAGUUUCCACCCAUCUGCUAAGAGGUUGCAGCCCGAGCCGCUGAGAGCGCAACCACCCACAUUCCGGCCCACGUCAUACAUGCCCCUGUCCCCGUGCGCACACGCUUCCUUCCGACCUCGGCUUUCCUCCAGCAGACGUGCUCCUGAACUGCUCCUGAACUCACACGGAGUGCCGUGCGUGCCUUGCUGUUCGUUUCGCCGAACCGCGCUCUGCCCCCAUACACACGCGUCUAAAACCCUGAGGCCAGCGCACAUGCGUGCCUUCUGGGCGGCAUUGACAGCAGCCAAGCCCUGGGGUCCUCCUGUGAAACACAUUACUUCCAGCCAUCCUAACGGACGCACACUCCCCACAGCACAGAAUCAGCGUUACCCCCAGCCAAGGCCCGGCAUAAUCUCAAGGCAGGCAACGGAGCGCCUGCAACCACCUACAUCUACCGAUAGAAAACUCCAUGCUAUCGUGGACCAGAGUUGAUCGUUGUGCCUUCAGUGUCUUUUAAUACCGUACUAUCGCACCCGCCCCGACCAUGGUGCGCAUCAAACCGGUGCGCUGAGGGCGGAGGGCUGAGGCAGCCGCACCUGCAUCCGCCACGGCAAGGCACGGCACGGCGUGUGCUCUCCCGUGCGGGAUGCCACGUGGGCCCGAACGUCUGGCUGGGGUCUGGCGGUGCGCCCACACCCCGGCCUCUUUCCACACAUACAAAUGCACUCGCCCACAGACACCCGUCCCCAACACGCUGCCCAGCCGCUCCAAGCUCCAGCCGCUUCAUGCUCAAGAUGGCGAUCCACCCAGACGCUCAGGCCUCCCUAGCAGUUCAGCUCGACAGACGCCCGGGCCGCCGUAGUACUUCGGCCGCGCUAGCUGUUCAGGCCGCCCUAGCAGUUAUUGACGAUGCCCUAAGCAACUCAAUGCAAACAGUUCAUCCGCCCCUACAGUCCAGCCGCCCUAGCAGUUCGGCUGCGCUAGCUGUUCAGCCGAUCAAGCCGCCCAGCUCUCGCAUGUGUUGCAGGUCCCAUGGGCGGGCACGGUGGUGGGCGGAGUUGGCGCGGACGACUUGUAUCCGGCGCAUGUGCCGGGCGGGCUUGCGGCAGCAAUCUCCCUCCGUCCCACCCGCGCGCGCGCGCGCUCCCUCCGAAGGCAGCCGCUCGGGCGUCGGGGCGGGUCGGCCACGCGCCCACGGGUCGCAACGCACGGAUCCAAAACGGAACCUCCUGCGGUCACCAAGUCCGGAUUCCGUGCAGAUUUCAGCAUGCGUGUGCUUUAAAUCAUCAUUCAGCUCACGUCAUGUGGGGUGUGGCAUCGCGGGCGUGUUAAUUAUUACCGUACGUACUUGCCCCCUGCUGUGUCGAGGAUGGACAGCAGGGGGGCGACGCAGCAGGCCCGGAUUGGGGCUACUGCUGCACGGACGGCACACACCUCGCAUAAACAAAGCGCACACGUACCGUAAAUAGGCGGCUGCGCGCGGACCACCCCACCCGCCCCACCGAACCCCACGACCCAUCCCCGUCAUCGCCCGCAGGCGUCACUGGCCACUGUCGUACACACCCUGUCGUACCAUGGGGCUCGGCAACGUCGUAAACACGUUGUUUCAUACCCUGAAAGCAGCUGGGUGUGAGGCCGGCUGCGCCUCACCCCGCACGAAGGUGCCAGAACAGGAUCACAGGAUUUUUGCUCUGUUGUACGGCUUCGCCCGUGGUGACCGGCUCUCGCCCGCCAGCCAGCCAGGCUCCGAGAGCGCUGCUGGCGGCCGGCCGUGUUGUAUCCCUUGGCUUGAGGCUGGCGCUGGGGCUGGGGCUGGGGCUGGGGCUGGGGCUGGGGCUGGGGCUGGGGCUGGGUUGGGGCUGGGGCUGGGGCUGGGGCUGGGGCUGGGGCUGGGGCUGGGGCUGGGAGGAGGUGAAGGCGUGUGGGUGCCGGUGUUCGUGUCGGCGGAAGGAGGCGGGCGCGAAGGACGCGACAGACGGGCGCCGGCGCCGGCUGCAACAGGCAGGGCGAGAUGGGUCAGGCGGGGUCAGGGCAGGUUGGCGCAGCCCCGUAGUGUGCAGCAGGGGGACAUAGGGGACACACAUGGGGGCGGAGGUAUGGGCAACGGAGUGGGCCCUGGGCUGGCUGUGGUUUUAGUGCGGCGUGCGGGAAAGAAGACAGCGCUUCGCAUGGUUGUGGCAGCAGGGGGGGUUUGGUGGGGUGAGGCGUGUGGUACUCACCAGCGUUUGCGGGUGCAACCGUGCCCAACAGCAAUACGGCCGGUGUGCCGACCGCGAGAGCUCCGAGCGCGAUCGCCUCCCGGCGAUUGAUUGAAGCCAGCAUCUUUUCAUACUUGUGAGGAGAUCCUGCUACAAGUAUUCGACAUGCUCGCGGCGCCGGCUGCGCACGCGACGGAAGUAAGGAAUUCUGGGCUCGGCAUCCCGGGUGUUUCGCGACGGAAUACUGCAGCGCCCCCAAGCGGCACGGCAGCGGCAUUUUGUGAGUCGAAGUGCAAUUAAUAAGAACAGUGGAAGUGGCGUGCCUUUGUAGUCGACAGGAUUCUGCCAUCUGUCGCUUUCAUGGCCAGGCAUGGUCCCCUGGCCCACCGGGAGUUGCACAUGGUCCCACUGCAGUGGUCCCACUCCCAGGCUUCUUGACAAUACUAUUUCCCACCAUUCUGUUGCAUUGACACCCCGUUACCCCCCGUCGUGACAGGCUUGCGCCGUGGCGGAAGCGUGUCAGUGAGACAGGCGUAAGGCCACUGGGCCAGCCUUCCGCCCAAACCUUUGCCCCCGUCUGCCCUCAUGCCGCGCCGGAGACCCCGCCCGCCUGUUCUGUUGCACAUGGGUGCAGUACCUCAUCAGGAGGACCGACAGAGCGAGUCCCAACCGCCAUAGCAGUACUAACCGCCAGCACUCGCCCGCAGCAGGGGCACCUAUCGCACCUGAAGCACCAUUCGGCGGCCUCCGUAAUUAUGUGUGCCCAAAGCACACUGUCCCCCCGCAACGUCGCGCCCAACAAUAUUCGACCCCCUCCCCCCCCCCCCGCCAUGCAGUCCAGCCCGUCCACCGGCAACCCACCGCCGCCGCUUGGCUCGGCGCCCCCAUGCUGGCGGCUCCACCCUCCACCCGCCAUUCACCACACUGCAACACUGCCGGGCACAGACCUAACCCCAGCCCUGCCCUUGCUCUCCCCAUGCUCAACCGCGUCACACCACGGCCCACAUCAGUGCAUCGCAGUCUGCGCGGCAGCACCCACUAGCGAACCCGCUCACCCUCGCACAUGCACCCGCUUCGCGUGGGGCCCUGGGGCCCUUGGGCUGCCCAUCGCUGUCCACACACACACACACACACACACACACACACACACACACACACGCACACACACACACACACACACACACACACACACACACACACACACACACACACACACACACACACACACACACACACACACACACACACACACACACACACACACACACACACACACACACACACACACACACACACACACACACACACACACACACACACACACACACACACACACACACACACACACACACACACACACACACACACACACACACACACACACACACAACCGUAUGCCGUCGCGUUGCUUUAACGCACACACUGUCUUUAACACAGAACGGUGUGAGCCGCCACGGCAUACACCUCGCUCACCACGCGCCCGACCCGCCCCACCCCAAGCUGCCGCCGCCGCCGCCGCCGCCGGCGCCGCCGCCGCCGCCAGCACCACCACCGCCCCAGCCGGCUCCCAUGGCAGUGACCGACCCCCCGCCGCCGCCGGCGCCGCCGCCGCCGCCGUGGUGGCGGUGGCGGUGCGCGCCGCCGGCGCCGCCGCCGCCCGCCGCCAGCUCCGCCACCCCCUCAAUGAGCGCCAUCUCCGCCGCCCGGUGCAUCAGGGCCAAGGCGUCCGCAGACCAGGCCAGCGGCUCGGCGCCAGCGGUGGCGGCGGCGCCAGGGGCGGGUGCGAUGCCGCCAGGGGCAGUUUCAGGCGCUGCUGCCGGGACGGCGGUCGCGCCCGCAGGGCCGCCGGUGUCGCCAGCGGCGGCGGCGGCGGCAUCGGCCGGCGGCUGUCGCUGCCGCGUCGCCGCCAGCCGCGCUGCCUCGGCGGCGGCGGCCUGCCCCGCCGCCUCCGCCGCCGCUAGUGCUGAGUAACGCCGCGCUGGCGACGCCGACGCCACGCCCAUGGCCGGCGGCGGGAUCCUGGCGGCGUUGGCAGCGGCAGUGGCGGCGCCGCCGCCUGCCCCCGGCGCCGCCACCGCCGGCGCCGCCGGUGCGACCUGAGCGGUAUCAGCAGCACCGCCGCCUGGCGACGAGGGUGCCACGGGGGCGGCAGCGCCUGGCACCGCCGCCGCCGCCGCCACUGCUACUGCCGGGCCAUUUGCGCCGCCGCCGCCGCCGCUGCUACUGCCGCCGGCGGCGGCUGCCUCGCGCUGGGCCUGCACCGCCUCCCAGGCCUCGGCGAACAGGCCCAAGAACGCCGAGCGCGGCAGGCAGGUCGGCAACUCGCUGAAGCUACAGCCGGCUAGGCGGCUGCUGCCGCCGCCGCUGCUACUGCCGCCGCCGCCGCCUAGCACGGUCACAAACUCAUCCACAUACUCCUCGUCCAACUCCUGCUCCCCAUCAUCGUCAUCGUGGUCGCCGGCGGCCUCCGCCUCCGCCCCACUCGCCUCCGCCGCCUCACUCGCCGCCCCGCCCUGCAGCUUGCUGCCGCUGCUGCCGCCGCCGCCGUACAGCACGGCGCCAAUGUCGCGGCACAGCGCCGCCGCCGCCGCCACGUCAGCCACCUCCAGCAGCCGCGGCUGUAGCGCCGCCAGCCAGCCUGCGUCGGGGCGCACCGCCGCCGCUACAGCCUCCGACAGCGCCGCCGCCGCCGCCACGUCCGUGGCGGCGGCGGCGGCGGUUGGCGCAGCAGCGGCGUCAGCUUCAGUGCUAGGUUUGGCGGCAGCGGUGGCUGCAGCAGCUGCCGCUGCUGCUACUGCCGCAGCGGCGGCGGCGCCUGCUACAGCCGAGUCGCCGGGCUGCCGCCACCAUACGGGCACCUGGAGGUGGUAGAUCCGGAUGAGGGCUGUAGCAAGCCCCGGGUUGGACAGCCGCGCAGCGUGCGCCAGCGCCGCCGGCUGUAGCAGCGGCCGCAGCCGCGGCGGCAGUAGCGCCGCCAGCAGCUCGCAGCGCAGCGCGCCGCCGAACGCCAUCGCCGCAACGUCGGACGGCGGCGGCAGCGCCGGCGGCGGCUGUAGCAGCUCCAGCAACUCCGCUACUUCGUCGCCGUCGUCGCCAUUAUCGCCAGUGGCGGCGGCGGCGGCGGCGGCGGCGGCGGGGGCGGCAGCGGCAGUAGCACGCGGCAGCGUCUCUGACGCCGCCUCGCCGCCGCGACCGCCGCUCAGCGACCAGCGCUGGCCGCUGUUGCUCAGCCUGCUGAUGCUGCCGCUGUCCGUGGCAGUAGCACGCCUGCCGGCGGCGCCCUCGCCGCCGCCGUGUUGCACACCCGCAGCCGACGCCACCGCUGCGUCGGCGGCGCCGGUGUAAGCGGCGCGCAGCGUCGCCGCCGCCAGCUUGACGCGCGUGUCAAAGGGGAGGCGGCGGCGGACGCGGCACGACAGAUCAUGACAGCUCGGGCACUGGUGGCCGGACCAGUAAGAGCAGGCCGGCCGCGCCGCCGCCGCCGCCGCCGGGGCCAUCGGCGCGGACGCGCCAGUACCGGCGGCGGCGGCAGCGGCGGCUGGUCCGCCGCAGUAGCACAGCAAAUCUAGCGGGCACAUCAGCGGCUGUAGCUGCUGCUGCUGCUGCUGUUGCUGCCAUGCUGCCCCGACACCGGAGCCGCCAUCCACCUCCAUGCCUUCCGCCCCAGCCGCUGCUACUGCCGCCGGCGCUGCAGCCGCCGCCGGCGCGCUGGCAAGCAGUAGCAGCGCAGACAGCGGUUGUAGCGCCAGUGACGCCAGCAGCCGCCCUAGGUGGACGAGCGGCAGCGCGCCCAGCAGGCGCGACCCGGCGUCGCCGCCAAUGUACGACAUGCCGUAAGCCGGCACGCCACCGUACGGCACCCGUACGGCAACACCGGUUGCGGCGCCGCCGCCGCCACUGGCGGCGGCAACCGUACUGUGCACGGCGUACGGCAGGGCGGGCGCGGCGGUUGGGAGGUCGGCGUGUAUGUCGGGCGGCGGCGGCGGCGGCGGCAGUAGCCGGCCCAGAGGCGAGGCCGACAGCGCCAGCUGCAGGUGCCAGGGCUGUAGCACCAGCGUCGCCGGCGGCGCGCUGCUACUGCCGUGGCUGCUACUGCCGUGGCUGCUACUGCCGUGGCUGCUGCUGCUGCUGCUACUGCCGGUGCUGGUGGCCAGGCGCAUGAGCCCCGCGUCGGCGUAGGCCUGUUGCGGGGAGGGAGGGAGGGAGGCAGCCCGGGUGAAGGACAGAGUCAGGGAUCAGGGAGUCAGGGAGUUAGGGAGCCAGGGUGAAGGAAAGAGUCAGAGAGUCAGCGAGUCAAGGAGUCAGGAGUCAGAGAGUCAGACGAGAGGUGCGGUGCGGCGUGCCCGAUGUGCCCCGAGCAGGAGGACGUGGCCCGCCAGCAGGACUGGUGCCCAUGCCCCUUCCCACUCCACGCCCAAUCCCCAUCAGCAGCAUUGAACAGCUUUCCACUCCAGGCGCGUGACGUAUCGUGCCGUACACAACGUCAACCCGACGUCACAACCACGCCACGCGUAAUCCACACUCUCCUCCGCACCUUCCCCGCACCUUCCCAGCUUGCCGCCCGGCACGCCUGCUCCGAGCCGUUGCUCCACUUCGGUCAAGCUAGCACCCCGCCUCCUUCCCUCUACCCACACCGACACACUCUUACGCACGCGCACACACGCACACUACGCGUACUGUUUUCUUUGUGCUCUUUAACACAUACACAUAUACACACAAACACACACGCACGCACACACACGCACACACGCAGUCUCACCACCGCCGUCUCCAGCACGCGCGUGGCAAACCACUCCAGCACCGCGGCCAGAGCCACCACCCCCCGCACGUCAGCGUCCCCCUGACGCCCGCUGCCGCUGCUGCUACUGCCGCCGUACGAGACGACAUCGAGCUCCGUGAUGCUGCCACUGUCGCUACUGCCGCCGCUGCCGCUGCUACUGCCGCUGCCGCUGCCUGUGUUGGUGCCGGAUCGCGCCCCGCGGGCGCUGGCGCCGCCGCCGCCGCCGCCGCGCAGGCGCGGCAGCCGCCGCUGCCACCAGUGCUCUGCGGCCGGCGGCGGCGGCGCCGCCGGAGCCGGUGCCGCGCCGCCGCUGGCAGCGGUGCCGGCGGCAGGACCGGCAGUAGCAGCAGCCGGCGGCGCUGCUGAUGCCGCGGGCACGGCAGUAGCAGCAGCAGCCGUGGUCGCGGGGGACGGGCUGGCGGCGCCGCCACUGCCGUCGGCCGAAGGGCCGGCUGCAGCAGCAGCCGGCUGCUGGUCUCCCUGUGCACACGUCGGUGAUGCAGACAUGCGUGAAUAAAGUAUGCUAAGUGAUUGGGAACUUGCCAAGCAGCACAUUUGUACAUGUAUACUAUUCAAUCGUAAGCACAUAGUUGCCAUUCCAGGCCGGGGGCACACCACUGGGAAUGCUGGCUGGCUAGCAUCUGCAACGCGAGAAAUAAACCCGCCCCACACCACUGGUUCUGGGUCAUGAUUUAAUCAAACUGCCGGUACCCGCUCCACCUCAACCUACCUGCUCUGCGCUCUCCCGAUCGCCCGACUCCUCGUCCUCGCCUCCCGCCGCCGCCGCCGCCGCCGCCGCCGCCGCCUCCCCCACAUGACGACCGCGCAUCGGUGGCAGUCUGGCGGCGGGGGCUGCAGCAGCAGCAGUGGCUGUAGCAGCAGGAGCGGUUGUAGCAGCAGCUGGAGCCGACGGGCCUGGCCCCAGCGUCAUCCCCGCCAGCGGCGUCGCCAGCGCCGCCGCCGCCGCCGCCUGCCGCCGCGCCGCCGCCGCCUGCAUCCGCGCCGCCACCAGCUGCCGCAGCUGCUGCCGCUGCGCCUCCCUGGUCGACUGGCCACCGCCGCCGCCACCGUCGCCGCCGCCGCCGCCAGUGCCGCCAGCACCAGCUUCAGCGCCUGCCUGCAUCCCGGCCGCCCCACCUGCCACUGCCCCUGCCGCUGCCUCUGCAGCCGCCACCGCGGCUCCCGACGCAGCACCGCCAGCGUCGGCACCUGCACCUGCACCUCCACCACCACCACCUCCAACACCACCACCGCCACCAGCAACACGAGCACCACCAGGCCGACCAGUGACCACCACCAGACCGCCGCCGCCGCCGCCGCCGCGGCCGCGGCCGCCCCUGCGCGCCGCCGCCGCCCCCAUCGCCUCCAGCGCCCGCCAGCGCGCGUCCACCGCCGGCGCGCGAAUGCCGGGCACGUUGCCGAACGCACCCAGCCCGCCCCGCGCCGCCGGCGCCGUUGCCGCCGCCGUCUCACCCUCAUGCCCGUUGCCGGCGGCUGCGCCGCCGCCGCCGCCGCCGCCGUCUUCGUCGUCGGUUUCCCACUCGUCGCUGUCGCUUUCGCCGUAAUCCUCAUAAAUUCCUUGGCCAUCUCCUUCAUCAUUCUCUUCUUCAUCCGUGUGAUGAUUGGCACGAUGGCGGCGGUGGCGACGAUGCGCUCGGAUGAGACCCGGCAGAGAUCCGUCGUCGUCCGUGUCAUCCGUGAUCGUGUCAUCGUAGUCGUUGACAUCAUCAUCUUCAUCCUCAUCUUCAUCAUCUCCGUCCUCAUAACCUACAUCAUCAUCAUCGUCAUCAUGCAUGUCUUCGCUGUCGCUGUCGCCGCCACUGGGGACGUCGUCUUCGCCCUCCGCAAACUCGCCCUGGUAUGGGGGAUGGGGUUUGCGGUGUGUGGGUGUGGGGUGCGGGAUGUGGGGACGUGUGGGCGCGUGUGGGGGCGUGCGAAUGUGGUGUGUGGGUUUGUGAGGUAUGCGACACGUACGGUACGGAGGACUGUGACGUGCCAAGCGAAAACCACAGCGGUAUCAGUAGGCGCACGGCGGGCGCAGCAGCAACACAACCACACACACAGCUGAGCCUCUCCUCUCCUCUCGGGCAUCCCUGACAUACACAGCCACUCAUGCGCAUACACACACGCACACGCACACACGCACACACACGUUCACACACACGCCCACACGUACGGCAUACACACACGUACGGCAGUACGGCACACACGCGUGCGCUACUCACGUGCAGCGGCGUGUAUUGCCCCACGAUGCACGCCACGCGGCCCAGCCCCAGCCCCAGCUCCAGCUUUCCCCCCAGGCUGCCCCACGUCUCCUCCCACACGCCGCCGCCGCCGCCCAGCUCGCACAGCGUGUCGUCGUACUGCAACAGUGCGGCGCGCGCGGCGGCGGCGGCAUCGGCGGCCAGGGGCGCCGGGAAGAGCGACUGUGGGUGAGUGGGGUGGGGGUAGCGGGUUACAUCGUGGGGUUACAUGCAUAAUUGGUGUAGGAAGUGAAGUUGUGUAGCCAGGGGGGCAGGGGGGUUACAUGCAUAAUUGGUGUAGGAAGUGAAGUUGAGUAGCCGGGCGCAGCAGUGGGGGUAGCCGGGCACGGGGUUGCUAGGUGAGGGCGGUGUGGAGCAAGGGGUGUGGAAAUGUGGAAUGGGGACGGAGGAGGAAAGCACAGGAUUGUUGGGGAUUAGGGGGAGAAAAGGUAGGGAAGCAGGCAGGGUGGCCGUUUGGGGGGCGCUGUAGAAGUGCACACCGUACACACAUGGACACACACAUGAACACACACGUUCACGCAAACCGUCACGCAUUUGAACACACACACACACACACACACACACACACACACACACACACACACACACACACACACACACACACACACACACACGCGCACACACACACACACACACACAGUCGCACGCACCUGCACCGCCAGCAGUACGUCGCCCUCGCCCAUGGGUGCCGACUCCUGCGUGCGGCGGCGUGCGGGGGGGGGGGAGGGGGGAGGCGGGGUGCGGGAUGGGGCCGAUGGCACAGUGCGUUAGUUUGUGGCGGGGACUCGUGCCAUUGCGGCGUUGUGGCGUUGUGAGGUACUGAGGUUUGGAGCGGCGGUGCGAGCGGCAUGCGCGGAUGAGUCUCAGCAGCCUUGCGCUCACCCCCUGGGCUGGCUGGGUCUUGUUCUACGUGGGUUUGGAUUAAACUACACCACCACCACCACCACCCCACACACAACCUUGCAACCCCCUGAUGUCAAAUCAUAGGCCAUGCUCUCCUCCUCGCUCUUUUACAUACCGUCCCCCUCCCUAAUAACCCCCCCCCCCACACACACAUCCUCCCACCCCCCACCCCCCCCACCCCACCACACACCCACACACCUGCACUAGCUCGCUGCAUAUGACCGCCAUGGCCGCCCCCAGCAGCCGCCGAGCUACAGCCGUGACGCAGUCGUUCAGCGCCGCCAGCGCCCGCCAGUCCAGAGACAGGCCGGCAGUAGCAGCAGCAGCAGCGGCUGUAGCAGCGGCAGUGGCUGUAGCAGUAGUGGCGGCGGCGGCACCGGUGCUGCUACUGCCAGCGCCAGUGGCGGCAGUGGCAGGUGGCGGCGACGGCGGCGGCGGCGGCGGCUGUAGCGCGGCGGCGGCUGUAGCAGCGGGCCAGCGGCGGCGCACCAGCCGCAGUAGCCCGAGUGCCCAGUAGGCCCUAUAGCCGUGGUGAAGGGCCGUGUCCAGGGCUGCAUGGGGGGGGGGAGGUUGCAGGUGCGUGGGUGCGUGGAUUCGUGGUGGAUUGCGUGGGUUGCAGGAUGGAGAAACGAGAAGGAACCGAAGGGACAAAGAAGGGGGUGGGCUGUGAGCUGUGGGGUGCGACAGCCCUGUCCUCUUCUGUAACGCGUUAGCCUUUCCGUCGGGCUCCCGCCCAUUCCGGUCCCACCUCUUCUGUCGCCCGCUUGUCCCCCAUGCGACAUACUCACACACGCGCGCGUUGCUACACGUGCCCUUGCAAACACAGGCUAGCAAACACAGGCACCACGUCUUCCCCUUGUCCGCGCUGCACCCGCUAAACGGUAACGCCCGGUACUAUCGAUCGCGGCCCGCUGUUUCCUUUCGCACAGGAUUCGCAACCGGCACGGUGCCGAUUUGUCUCCUUCCCCUUCUCUGCCCCCUCCCCCACUCACCCGGCAGAUCCAUCACUGAUUGGUCCUCCCCCUCGAACGCCUCCAGCAACGCCGCAUCCCGGCUGCCCGGCGGCGGCCGCCGCCAGUCCUGUACGGCGGCGGCGGCGGCGGUUGGCGGCUCCGCCGCCGGCGGGCUGGCGCCGCCGGCCGUUGCGGUGGCCGUUGCGGCGGUUGGCGUGGCGGCUACCAGUCGGUCCACGAGGUCAAUGACGGUGCCGUACACAACCGACGCCGGGUACGUCAGUGGGCCGUCGUCAAUCGCCGCCGCCGCCGCCGCCUCCGAGCCGUCCAGAUCCGCGUCCUCGUCAGCCGCCGCCGCGCCGCCGGCGCCGGGCAUCAUGCCCUGCGGCCGAAUGCCGACCUGCAGUGUGGAAGCCGUCACCGGCGGCGGCAGCGGCGGCUGUGGCGGCGGCAGCGGCGGCGGCUGUUGCGGCGCUGCUGCUAGCGGCACUGCGGCGGCGUUCAUGCCGUCGGUGGCGGCGGCGCCAGCGGCCACCGCAGCGUCAGGCCGCCGGCUCGGCGCCGCCUGCCGCCGCGCCCGCCGCCCCUGCAGCGGCUCCGCUGGCUGCCGCCGCCGUCGCCACCACAGCGGCUCCGCCGCCGGCAGUUCCAAAUCCAGAUCCGGGCCCACAUCCGUCUCGCCAAUAGCGCCGCCGCCGCCGCUGCCGCUGCUGCCGCCACUGACCGCGCCUGGCGGCGCCGCCGCCGCCGCCGCCUCCGCCGCCGCUGCCGUACGCGGUGACGGCGGCGGCGGGGGCUCGUCCUGCUCCCCAAUGAGGAACAUGUCAUCGCCCCCUGAGCCGUAGCCGUCCACCUCGCCACACACCUCCCGCAACAGCCCCUGCACCGCCGCCGGCAGCUCCACCGCCGCCGCCGCUGCCGCCGCCGCCGAGGCUUCCGCUGCUGCUGCGCUAGCCGCCACUGGCGUCAAUGCCGCCGCCGCCGCCGCCGCUGGUGCCGCUGGCGCCGCCGGGAGGCGCGAGAAGACCGGGCCGUACUGCCGCCGCCUCUUCCGCCCCUCCUCCCCAGCGUCGUCCUCCGCUGCUGGUCGUCCCAACCGCUGCUGCUCGCCGCCGUCAUCCGGCCCGCCAGGAGCGGCGGCGGCAGCGCCGCCGCCGCCGCCGCCGCCGCCGCCAGCCGAGUCCCGCCGCCGCCGCAGCUGCCGGCGGUCACACAUCCUGGCGCCCAGCGCCGCCGCCGCGCCGUCCGCCACCUCGCGAGUCGAGUCCAUUGCCCAGGGCCACAACGGCCGCUCCGCCGCCGCCACCGCCGCGGCGGCGCUGCCGUCCGCCUCCGCCGCCGCCGCCGUACUCCCUGCCGCCGCCGCCGCCGCCACGUCGGCCUCCGGCAGACCCUCGGGGUACAGCGCCGCCGGUACGAACAGCCCGUGCACCCACGUGCCGGCGGCGCCCGCCGGACCAACCGCCGAGCCGCCGCCGCCACCGCCGCCACCGAUACCGCCAGCAUAAUCAUAACCGCCGCUGGCCGAGACGCCGCCGCCGCCGGGCCCCAGCUCCGCCGCCAGCGGCGGCCCGACGCCGUACAUCGCCGCCAUUUCCGCCGCCGCCGCCGUCACGCCGCCAUAACCGUAACCAUGGCCGGCGCCGGCGCCGCCGCCGCCGCCGUAACCGUAACCGCGCCGCCGCUGGUCCAGGCUGCCGCCAGCCGCCUCUGCCGUACCGGCCGCCGCCGCGUGUGCGGGCCCCAUGGCGGCACGCAUGCGGGACACGUGGGUUGCGGCGGGGUCGUACCGGCAGCCGCCGCCGGGGCGGGCGGGGUUGGCGUGCGCGGCCAGGUCCGGUAGGGAGGGCGCCACGUAGGCACAGCCUGCGGGGCGGGGCGGGGGGCACAGCGGGGGGUUGCAAGGAUUGGUACAGAGAAGUGUAGCGAAGUAGACAGCAGGGGGCGGGGGUACAUUCAUGACUAGUGAGGGGAGGGGGUGUUGCAAGGGUGUUUGGAAAAGCGGUACAGGACGCACCGACCAGGGGGGCGGGGGGCGGGAAGGGGGGGGGUCCCAUGCGUGACUAUUGACUAGUUAGGAGAAGGUGGUGUUAGCGGGUUGGGGGCGGCUUGCCAUCACCACCACACGCACAUGCCCACCGUAAGGUCCCGCCAACAGCUCAAAUCCCGCUUUUCCCAUCCCUUCCGUUCCCCAACCUUCUCAAACCCAGCACACGCCGCCGCCGCCCCACACACCCACCAUAGCAGCGGUGCGGGCAGGGCAGCGCAGCCGCGCAGCCGCCCCAGCGGUGCGCCUCCGCCUGCCCCCGCAGCACCACCGCGCCGCAGCCGCCGCAGCGCAGCGGCUCAAAGGGACAGCCGCCAGCCAGACCCUCACUGCUACUGCCGCCGCCAUUGCUGCUACUGCCGUCACUGUCACCGCCGUCAUUGCUACUGCCGUUGCUGUUGUUGCUACAGCGCUUGUGACUGCCCGCUUCCGCGCCGCCGCCAGCUCCAGCCGCCGACGUGUGCGCCGCCAGCGCCCCCGGCUGUAGCCGCGCGGGGCAGCCGUACUCCCGGUACGGGCACGGCAGCCGCCGGCACGGGCACGCGUCUGACCCGCGGUGCGCCGCCAACCGCUCCCGCGGCAUCUCCGUACGGCACUCCGGGCACCGUACACUGACGUACGGGCAUUCGCCCGCCAGGUGCGCCGCCAGGCCGGAUCGCGGCACGGUGACGGCGCAGCCGGCGGCGCCGUACGGGCAGUGUACGGGCAGGGCGUCGGCGCGCGCCGCCAGGGCGGCGGGGGUUUGCAGCUGCGACAGCCGCAGCGGCUCGCGGCAGUAGGGGCAGGAGCAGGGCACCUCCUUGCGCUUCUGAGUGCUGAACCACUUCUGGAUGCAGACCUGUGCGGUCAGGAAGGUGGGGGUUACAUUCAUGAUUAGUUAAGGAAGUGGUAGACGGUAGACCAUCUUGCGGAGGGGGGGUUCAGGCGCGGGUUGGUGGAUGGUGUGGUGGGGCUGGGGUGGCGUUGUGGUGGUGUGGGGUGGUGUGGGGUGGUGGGGUGUGAAGUGGACUAGGGUGGGGCUGUGGUGCGGUGCGGUGUGCUGUGUGGGGUGUGAUGGGGCCAACCGAGGCGAAUGCGGCGGCGAUGUCAAAGGGGAGUGCAAGGCUGCGCGGGGGCGCCUCUUGUCUACCUUGUCGGGGCGGCUUACUGAUGCAGGUGACCCCCGAGAGAAGAACAACAACUGCCCCCGGCUGCAGCGGUGGCGGCUAACGCGCCGUCCCCCGCAUGCGGCGGGAGCCGUCGUGUGGGCGUGCAUGGCGUGCUUGGCGCGUGCCAAUGCACGGCGACACACUUCUUCUGCCCCAUGAUGCCCCGCUCCACCCCCAACCCCACGCCCCCGGGUGUCCCAUCCCCCUGCCCCGACGUGCUUCUGCCCCCCAAGCUUGCUGACUUGCCAACUCGCUGGCUAAUCAGCGUGCUUGCUGCCUUGCUAGCUCGCUAGCUGACGCACUCCCUCUGCUAGCCGCUCUUAAACGCGCACCUCGCAGAAGGGUGCGCUGCAGCGGGGGCAGGAGCGCGGCUCACGCAGCGCGUGGUAGCAGACCUGCAGGCAGCCGCGGACAGGAGCUUGAGAGAUAACACGUGUGUGAGAGGCCAGAGAGCACGAGAGCGAGAGUGUGUGUGUGAGGGAGGUGGCGAUGCUGCGAAAGGUCCGAAAAGAGCGGUGGCGAGAACGGUGGCGAGACCCGCACAGGCGCGGAGCAAGCCGGCCCAGUGGGCCCGGUGACACAGAGGACCCUUUACCAAUCUCACCGCGCAAAGCAGGUCUUCCGAGGGCGCCACCGCAUAGUUGUAUUCCUCCGGCAGUGCCAUUACCCCGUUCGGCUGGGUCAAUUUAUAUAGAUUGGCGCUCCGACAAGUUGUGCCACUACGCGUGAGCUCCGCACAUUCUCCCUAACUUUCCAGUGAUAGAGCUAUGCCAGUCGAAUGGUAGGUAGGUCACGCAUGCAGGCAAGGGAACGGAAAGUUUCGAAAGCAAUUGUUGCCAAGUUCGCGACCUUUCAGGCCUGUCUACAGGCCCUAUGUCACAAUGUAGGUGAUACUGGCUUCCGCCCAUCGAAUGCACCAGCCGAUCAAAUGGACCACCAACAUCAGGUCCAUCAUGUGUGCCAAGCUGCGGCCAUGCCCCCCCCCCUCCCCCUCCCCCUUCCAGCUCGCAAAACCCGCACCUCGACGCGCACAAUUUCUUGACUGGAUGGCUGCUUUGCGCAAGUCGCACUGUCUCCGGGCAGCUCAGGCACCGCAGGCGCCGCCUGGCCAGGUUGGCGACCACCCUCAGCCGCCUCGGCCACCAAGGAGAAGACAACAGGAGACAACGGAUCCGGGAAUCCGGGAUCCACGACAGCUGCUCACCUCCAGCCUGCAGGCACCUGUAGGCACCACGCAAACAAACAAACAGCAUCUCUCACACCGCUCUCUCCUCCCUGCUUCCGCGUCCGCUGACGUUGCUGCUCUAUCUGGACCCGGGGGCCACCACAGUCCAGGUGAAGUGGGCAGAAGGGCGACACGCCUGAUGACCAGGCAACACAAGGCAGCACCAUUACACGCCCUCCAGCCACUCAGUCGCCGGCACCCACAUGCACGGCUGGGCCGGGCGUAGCUUGUUGAUCGGGACUCAGCUAAGUCGGGACUCAACAACUCAGCUAAUUGCUCGCAAUCAACACAUUCUCACCAUCACGAACUUCGCGCCAUGCAUCCAUGCCGCCUGCCCCAUGCACUGCUGAACCGCCCCCCACCAGACGCCCCCCGCACCCGCACCCACAUGCAUGCCUCCUCCUUCCCCCCGUCCUCCUCCUCCUCCUCCUGCUCCACCGCCUCCAGCCCCCUUCCGCCCUUCCCCACGGCAUUUGUGACAUAUCCACGCCUUCCAUUACAGACAGCAGCUGACCCCCCUCCCACUGCAGCGCGACUGUUUCCUUACAGGAUUGGUUCAAAGUUAACCCCUCCCGCUACCCCUCCAGGCCCCCUCAUCACCCCUACUCGGCCAGCACGCAUGGGAACUGCGCAGCUCCUCCUCCCCCCUCCCCUUCCCCCAGCCCGCCCGACUACCUCUUGUGAUGUACCACAGCUCGCAUAUGCGGCUGCAGUUUCUCCUUGCAGCGCGACUGUUUCCUUACGGGAUUGGUUCAAAGUUAACCCCCAGCCCCCCUCCUCGUCCUCCUCCCCACUACUCUGCCAGCACGGACGUGAACUGCAGGCGGUCUGUGUUCCGUGCGGCGCCGGCCUUGCUGGGGCUCAGCGGAGGAGCCAGCGUGGGCAGCGGCGCGCGCUCGCGAGGCAGCCGCUCGCCGCGACCCACUGCGUGAAGUGUGCGAGAGGUGGGGAGCAAUGGGGGGUUAUGGUACAUUUAUGGUUGGACCAGGAGAGGUGAAGUUGUCGGGGGGAUAGCCGUUCAUGUGGAUAACGGAGUGGCUAUAAUAACGGAUAACGGAGUGGCUAGAAUGCGGAGCGGGGACUGCGUUCGUUGUAAGUUGAAGAAGUGGUAGGCCGAAGGCGGGGGACGGGGAGCGGGUGCGUUGGUUGCAGUCGGAGGCGGUCGAGGACGAGAAGAAGAACCCACAGAGCUCAGCCCACAUAGCCCACAGAGGGGUUGAGAAUGCGUAUAAGCAAAAAAGCGGACCCAGGAGAGGCCAAACAGCGCGCGCAAGCCUCCCAAAUAAAAGCCCCUAGCACGUAGGUGACACGUCGCUCCACCCCCAAUCCACCCCAAGCACGCACCCGUCUCCACAAGCUGACGGUCUGUGGGCUUGGCGUGCGGCAGCGCGGGGGGCGCCUCGUAGCUGCGGCCGUUGCCGGGCGCACCCCAGUCGUUGGCGCCUGUGUGUUGUGUGUGUGUGUGUGUGGGGGGGGGUUACACGCAUUAAGUUUACGAAGUGAAGUCGUAGCCAGGUACAAAGGUACACAGUAGUCGUCGUUACCAAUGUCCGCGUGGGGGGCGGCGCGUGGACAAUGGGUCGUGGGUCGUGGACCGUGGAGCGAGCAAGAGCGCACGCCAGGUAAGGAGACUGGCGUGUUUUUGACGAGGGCGACGCUUGAUGGUUGCACAAGAUUGCGCGCGCAUGUGAGUGAGUGUGUAAACACAGAGUCCUGCCCCCGCUCAGCGCCUAAAGCACCAGCUGCCACCGCCAUCCCUACCACCAUCCCUCACCCCCCCCCCCAAAGCAUAGGCCACGCUCUCCACCUCGCUCGUUUGCAUCGGGUUCGGUUCGGUUUGGGCUGGUAUCUACAACCCCCCCCCCCCCCACGACUUCACUUCGUAAACAUAAUGCGUGUAACACCCCCCCCCCCCAGGCUCCACACCCUGCACCCCACCGCACCCCGCGCCGCACCUGUGAGGCUGAUGUUGACGUCGGGCGUGUUGGGUUUGCCCAUGCUGGACUGAGGUCGGGCCUUGGCGCGCGCGCCCGAGAACGGGUCGUAGCUGGGGGGGGGCGAGCGUGUGUGUGUGGGGGGAGGGGGGGAGCAAUGGUAAGGGAGGGAAGGAAGGGGAGGGCUGAGGACGGGCAUGGGAGGAAGGAGGGCAUGGAAAGAAGGAGGGGCCUGGAACGCAGCAAGCCACCUUGGCGAAAUGAGGCGCCAAGAUUCAACACACACACACACACACACACACACACACACACACACACACACACACACACAUACGCACACAGGUAUCGGUAAGAAAUUCCGGCGCCGUCAUUGGGCGUUACUCUUUUAACACACACACAUACACGCAAACACACACCCACACCCACACCCACACCCACACACCCACCAGCCACCCAGCCACCCACACCCACCCACACCCACCCACCCACCCACCCACCCACCCACCCACACACACACACACGUACAAACACAUGCACACACGUUCCCUCUCUUGGCCAGCACCCACUUGAUGUCUUCGUAGGCGGCCAGCGGGUCGCGCGCCCGCUCCUCCGCCAGCGCCGCGCGCGCCGCCGCCACCGCCGCCGCCGCGCUGCCCACGCCGCCGCCGGCGCUGGCGGCGGCGCCGCUGACGCUGACGCCGCGGCUGCCGAGGGCUGCGCCGCGCAGACUGCCUGCGAGGAUGUCGCCGGUGCCGGUGCCGCUGCGUGUGCCGGUGCCGCCGAACAUGGACGGCAUGCGGUGCGGCGACAUGGGCGUGCCAGGCGCGCCGCCGCCGCCCUCCGCCGCCGCCACCUGCGCGGCCAGCCAGGAGUAAGCGCACGAGUGAGCGCACGAGUGAGAGAGCGAGUGAGGGCGAAAGCGAGAGAGGGCGAAAGCGAGAGAGGGCGAGAGCGAGAGAGGGCGAGAGCGAGAGUGUGCAAGAGAGAGAGUGUGCAAGAGAGAAUGUGCAAGAGAGCGAGGAGAGAGAGUGAGCGACAGCGCAAGAGCGGCCGCGAGAGAAAGGGAGCGAAAGCGGUAGCGAAAGAGCGGAUGAGAGCGAAAGCGAGAGAGGGCGUGUGCGUGUGCGUGUGAUGAGAGCGAGAGCGAGCAUGUGAAAAGCGCAAGGGGAGAGGACACACGCACAACCCCCCCCCCCCCACACACACACACACUCACACAGUCCCUACGGCCCCCACCUCCCCACCACCCCGACCUCCCCCUCCCCACCCGCACCUGCGCCUGGUGUGCCUUCUUGGCCACCGCCUUGGCGUAGGCCUCCCGUGUCAGACCGCCCUGGGCCGGCCGCACCGGACCCGACUUGGUGGCGCCGCCGGAGCUGUGUGUAGUGUAAAUGUAGGGUGUAGGUGUGUAGGGUUGGGAGGGGAUUAACUUUGAACCAAUCUCGUAAGGAAACAAUCGCGCUGCAAGGAGAAACUGCAGCCGCAUAUGCGAGUUGGUGGGGGGGUGGUUGGGAGGGGAGUAGGACGGGGCGAGGUGAGGUGGAGGAAGAAGAGAAACAAUCGCGAGCCCAAGGCAACCGCUACCCGACGAACGUGAUGUUGCAGGGCUUUGUGAUUAUCCUCUCCACCACAUACACACGUUUCCCCUCUUUCUCUUCCCCUCUCCCCCCCGCGCUCUCACCCCCGCAGCGUGACUCCCCCCGCCGGCAUGAGCGUGUCCAAGGCGCUGGGCACACCCGCCCCCCCCCACAUACACACACACGUUUCCCCCCAUCCCCUCCCCCCGCGCUCUCACCCCCGCAGCGUGACUCCCCCCGCCGGCAUGAGCGUGUCCAAGGCGCUGGGCUGCGUCUUGGGCUGCACCUUUUUGAAGUCGCUGGCCAGCCGCCUGCGUGCGAGGUGGGUGGGUGGGCCCCAGGUAUGGGCAUGUGUGUGCGUGUUCAAGAGCACAUAGAGCGCAAAGACAGUGUGUGGUUACGCGUGCGCGCGUGUGUGUGUAUGUGUGUGUUGGGGGUAGGUACUGAACCCGUGUGUGAAGUACUGAAACACAAAACCACAAAAACACAGACACACAAAACACAAAACACACACGCCCCCACACACGCCCUCGCCCACCUGUCCCGCUCCCGGCGCAUCUCGGUGGGGCUCAUCUGGUUGUUGGCGCGCGCCGCCGCCGCCGCCGCCGCCUCCGCAGCCGCCAUGCUGCGCGUGCUGUGGCUCCGCAUGGACUGGCCGCGGCGCUUGGGGCUCAGCGCGCGGUUGGCGUCGCCGAGGUCGCCGGACGGGCCCGCCACCUGAGGUGUGUGUGUGUGUGUGGGGGGGAGUGACAUUCAUGAUUAAUUAAGUGAAGGCGUAGGCAGGUACAGCAGCAUAGUAGACGCGUUGUUACCGAUGCCCGUGGGGGGGGGAGUGACAAUCAUGAUGAUUUAAGAAGUGGAGGCGUAGCCAGGAACAUGGGGGGGGGGGGAUUUUACAUUCAUGAUUAAUUAAGAAGUGAAGGGGAGGGGUGUGUGUGUGUAGUGUAUGUGUGGGGCGUGUGUGUGUCGGGGGGGUGUUGCAAGGAUGUGGAUGGAAAAGCGGUACAGGUGUGUGUCGGGGCGGGGGGCGGGUGUGCUUGAAGCGCACGCAGCACAAGGAGCUACCCCCGCACUGCGAAUGCAGCUGUCUUUAGCCCUAAUGCUACCCCCACUUGUGCCCCCAGUCCCCCGUCCAUGGCCUGCGUUCUCCAUGAACGACUACCCCCAGCUCCCCCCUUCUCCCCAGCUCCCCCCCCCCCCAGAGCUUUCCCCCCCCCCAAAGCUCCCCCCCCCGCCCCCCCCGUUGUCAAGCAUCGACCACGCUCUCCUCCUCGCUCUAUUGCAUUGGGUUUGGUUUAGUAUGGGCUGGUAUCUACAACCCCCCCCCCAAGCUCCCCCUCCCACCUUGAAGCCGGGCCCCGACAGCGCCUCCAGCGGGGUGCGGUCCGGGUCGAACUCGUUCAGGAUCACCACCUCACCCUGCGUGGGGGGGAGGGGGGAGGGAGGGGGGAGGGGGCGUGUGUGUGCAGGGGAGUGUGUGUGUGUGUGUGUGUGUGUGUGUUAAAAAUGUAAAAAAGAGCAAAAGGAAAACAAAGCGCAAACGCCACGUGCGUGUGUGUUCCAUGUGCUUGUGUGUGUGUGUGUGUUUUUAUGUUUCAGAGCACAAGGAAAACAUAGCGCAAAGACAGCGUAUGUUAAUGUGUUUGUGUAUGUGAGCGAGAGAGCGAGAGAGCGACAGAGGGAGUGGCAAUGUGUGUCACAGAGGCAGUUCGUGUGUGUAUGUACAUGUGUGGAAGAGAGGGUGAGGGAUACCGGCAGUGAUGUGGAAGAGGGGUGCUGAGCAAACCGAGUGAGUGACAGGUGGAGCCCAGGAAGUGUGAAGAAGACGUGUCACGGUUUCUUCGCGACCCCCCCCCUCCCGCCCUUCCCCUCCCUCCCUCCCCCCCUCCCCCUCUCCCCCCCCCCCUUCCUCCCGCCCUCCCCCUGCUCCCCCUUCCCCCCCCCAUCCCGCCCUUCCCCUUCUUCCCCGCCCUCAAGUCCCCUCCCCACCCUCAAAUCCCCUCCUCCCCCCCAACCCCCAGCCCCCACCUUGUGGUCGUACGUGUAGUCCUUGCCCCCUCCCCCACCGUCUACUACUUCCUUAAUUAAUCAUGAAUGUAACCCCUCCCCCCUCCCCCCCAAUCCCCCCUCCCCCCCAAUCCCCUGCCCCCCCCCCAAGCCCCCCCCAACCCCCAGCCCCCACCUUGUGGUCGUAUGUGUAGUCCUUGCCCUUGAGCUCCUUGCGCAGGCUGCUCAGCCGGGAGCGCUCCUCUGCGUCCUUGGCCUCCAGCCGCCGCGACAUCUCCUCCUGAGGUGUGUGUGUGUGUGUGUGUGUGUGUGUGUGUGUGUGUGUGUGUGUGCAAAGCGGUACAGGAUGCACUGAAGACUGGGGUGGUGUGUGUGUGUGUGUGUGGGGGGGGGGGACAUGCACUGUGCGGGGUCAGGAUGGUGGUGUGGUGGGGUCAGUGGUGAGGUGAGUAGUGGGUAGUGGGUUGGGGUUGCAACGCGCCCGAGCCCAACAGUUACCUCGAGUUAGGUCCUACUUGUAACAAGAGUGAUGGCCCGAGCCGUGGAUAAAACGUGUGUGCGCCCCGCCCCCGCCCCCACCCCACCCCCGUGUGCUGCCACCCCGCCCCCCUUCCAACACGGCCCCCUUCCCGACACGCCCUCCCCUCCCCCCGCCCUCCCCCGACACACAUACACACCUGCGUCUUGCGCUGCUGCAGCUCCCCCCGCAGCUGCUCCUCCAGCUGCUCCUGCUCGGCUGUGAGGCGCUUGGCGGUGUCCAGCUUGGUCACGUGGCGCCUGAGCGGGGGGGGGAGGGGGGUUACACGCAUUAAGUCUACGAAGUGAAGUCGUAGGGGGAGGGUUACAUCCAGAUUAAUUAAGUGAAGGCGUAGGCAGGUACAGCAGGGGGGCGGGAGCAGGGGGGGGAGAGAUGGAGGGGAGGGGGAGAGAGGUGGAGCGCAGAAAUUAUAUCGUUACCAAUGAUGAGGUAGGAAGUUGUAGCCAGGCACAACCGCCCUCUCGGCCCCUCCUCCCUCUCAGCCCUCCCCCCCCCCACACACACACACACCUCGCGCCACGUCACGCCAGGCCCAGCCGCCAUCUCGCACACACAGCCACACCCGACAGCGCACACGUACCCACGACACCCGCCGCGAACAAACCCCUUGUCCCCACCCCACCCCGCCCCAACCCUCUCCCGCUCUCCUUCCCGCCGCGGGCCUGCCCCCGUUUCUUCACACGCGCCCCCAAAACAACAACCCACCAACACCCACCUCCGUUCACCCAACCCACUCCUGACACACGCCCGCUGUCGAACGCAGCCACACACAAAUAAUCCUUCCGGGUUGGGCGACGAUUCCUUGACGAUUGAGACUUAAUUCGCUGGGCUCGGGCGCAUAACACCCUUCCAAUUCCCCUCCCCCCAGUUAGUAUAACCUGCAACUAGUUGGGCGACGGGGUCCGCGCGCGGCUCGCACUGCUGACAUGACUUUGGAGCUGCUCUGGACUGCUCCCUCCACCUGUCGCUACACUGCCCAAGCCCGCCCGACUACAUACGGUGAUGUACAACGACUCGCAUAUGCAGCUGCAGUUCUCCUUGCCGCGCGACUGUUUCCUUACGGGGUUGGUUCAACGUUAACCCCCUCCAUACACACACACACACCUGCUGGCCCCCGCGUGCAGCAUGGAGCGGGUGGACACACCCGCCAGGCGCCCCAUGCCCGACAUGCGCGCGUGCCGCUCAGGCGUGCCGGGCCCGCCGCCGCCGCCGCCCGCCUUGCCGCCGCCGCCGCCGGCCUCGCCGCCCGCCUCGCCGUCCAGGGCUCCUGAGCCGGCGGAGCGGCCCGACAGGGAGCGGCGGAUGGAGGGCGCCUUGCUGAGGAACUGUGUGUUUGGGGGGGAGGAUGGGUGGGGGGGGGGAAGGUGGGAGGGGUUUUUGCGCAUGUCCGCAGUGGCUGGGAAUGUGGGCAACACGGCAGGAGGACACCAGGCACGAACACCAGCGUGUACCGUAUUUGGAGCGCCCAGCACAUACACACCAAACCAGGCUCUCCAGACCGACGGCGGCGACAUGACAACCCAUCGUGGCCCAGCGCUACGCCUGCCUAGCCCGCCCGUUGCACCUCAACGCCUGCCCCUCCCACACCUCCACCGCUGCCCCGCCGGCGCCCGGCCCUCUCUUUCCCCGUCCCUGCCAAGCUAUCCCUUGCUCUAUCCCUUGCUGUUUCCCCUCCUCCCACACACACCAGCAAAACCCACACGCCACACACCACAAACGCGCACACGUGCACUCGCACCUGCUGCAUGAUGUAGCUGUCGCGCUCGCUGCUGCUCGCUGCGGGCGGGGCGGCCUCCGGCAGCGCCGAGCGGAGCCAUGAGUCCAGGCUGCACGGGUCCGGCGCGCGCUCCUGCUCCCAGCUGCUGUGUUCUAGAGAUACCGCCGAUACUGGGUUGUCCUCGCGAGCGGGAUACUGCAUUUGGAUGACCUCCAGGCACGUAGCGAGGCAUGAGUCCACCGCAUCUCCCGCCUGUCGCGUGUGUGCCUUCUGCUCGUGCACUGCAAGACUAAGUUUGUGCAAUACAUCGUCGAAGCAGCCGCGUAUCAAGUCCUGGACUGCUUGUUCCGCGUUCCCUGGCUGGUGCUUUUGUUGAGAAGCGUCAUACUCGGGGCUAUCAAAGUUUGGCGCAGACGGUGGGGGUGGUGGAGGAGGAGGCAUUUUAUAUUCAAGGCGCAAGAGGAAAGCUUUCCUCAACCUCUAAGCACAAUUUGCCGGAAGGCUCCUUAAGGCUCCUUGUAAGCUUAAAUGUACUAUUUGUGUUGUGUUGUAUAAGUCUUCUAUCAUGCAUACGCGCAACAAAGCAAGUCAGCAAAUGGCCCAAAUGGGGCACGGUUGGUUCCGCUUUGCUCUUUCAGCCCUAGUUGAUAUCUUCAGCAUUCAAACGAAUUGACUUACAUGCACCUGCUUCAGGGAACAUCAGUUCCAAAGCUUACCAAGCACAUCCACCGUCCAUCCAUCCACGCUAUACUCGAGGCCAGCCGUCUUCUUCCUCGUCCGGAUCUUUAACAACCAAACAGCUAGGUCGCAUCAAGCCCAGGUCGCUCCAGCCAAACCUCAUUUCAACGGCGUGUCGCUCCCCACCAGCAGCCCCAGCUGCGCCGGCGCUACCGGCCCCGUCUCCCACGCGCGCUCGUGCACGCUCGCCACCGCCUCCAGCACCGCCUCCACCAGCCGCCCCAUCCCCGCCACGUCACGUGCCGUACCCAGCAGCUGCCACCAGCCCUCCACCCCCGCCUCCUCCGCGUGCCGCGGCACCCGCAGCCCCUCCCCACCGCCCACUCCCCCACCCACUCCCCCACCCACUCCCCGGCCCACUCCCCCACCAACCCCACACCCGCUCCACCCGCUCAGCCGCGCCGCCGCCUCCAGCACCGCCAUCACCACAUCCCGCCGCGCCGCCGAGCCCGCCGGCGCCGCCACGCAGUAGCGGCUGUAGCUCCACAGGUCGUUCAGCAGCGCCAGCGCCAGCCGCUGCAGCCCGGCCGGCAGCUGCAGUGUCCGCGCGGCGUUAAGCAGCAGCGCGUGCGGCUGCGCCACCACCACCUCGAACGACACCGCGCGCAGCAGCAGCUGCUCAGCCGUCAGCAGCGUCUGUGUGUAUGGAGGGGGUAAGCGUGUGUGUGUAUGGUAGUUGUGAAUGUGUGUGGUUGGAGAUUGUGAGAAGAGAUAUCAAGGUGCCUUGGCCUGGUGUGAAAGGACUUCUAGCACUCGCCAAGGGUGCACGCCACAGCAGGUACACCCGCACCUAGCGCCUUCCCCAAGCGCAUCCCCCUCCUUCCACACACGCACACGCUUACACGCUCACACGCUCACGCACUGAGCCGUACACAUGCAGCCGCACACAAGCGCGCACCUGCUUGGCAGUGUAGUACUCGGCCCCCACCAGCACAGCGCACGCCGCCACUGCCUCCCGCAGCCGGCAGCGCACCGGCGGGCCUCCGCCCCCACCUGCGCCCCCACCUCCUCCUCCACCCCCGCCUCCGCCACCACCACCCGCACCGGCCCCAUUUGAGAGGCGCGGCAGCAGGUGCGGCGGCAGCGGCGGCGGCGGCCGCGGCGGCAGCAACCGCUUCAACGCCGCCGCCGCCGCCACCUCCUCCGCAUCAACGGGCGGGAGCCCUGCCCCCAGCGGCGGCUGCAGAGCCUCCUGCGGGCCUCCACCAUUCCCAGCCGCACCGUCGCCGUUCGAAGCGCCUCUCCCCUCCGCACCUCCCCCUCCUCCUCCACCUCCACCUCCCCCUCCCCCGCCUCCUCCACCGUUCUGUUGCUGUUGCGCCUGCUGCCGCCGCCACCCAGGUAUGAGCGCGGCUGCUGACGUGUCGGCUGGCGGCGCCGCCGCGGCGGCGGAGCCGCCGCCGGCGAAGCCGGCGCCAACAGCGGAGGCGGCGGCGACUGCGGAGGCGGCUGCGGAGGCGCACCAGGCCCACUGCUCGUAGCUGUCGUCUAGGUGGCGGAUGAGCUUCACGACAUUGAGCAAGUGGUUGUUGGAGGUGGCGGCCUGUGGGGGGGCGUGUGGGCGUGUGGGCGUGUGUUUCUGUGCGCUGAACUGGAGGGCUUGGGGCUGGGGGGUGGAAAGCAAGCGGGGCGCGCGAGGGCCGCUGCAGGUAGGCUUCAUUGCAGGUAGGCGCGUUGAUCAGGCAUUGCAGCGCUAGACAGGUUUGUACACCGUUGCAGCCAGCUGGUACGUCGCCUCGGAGGCCCCACCUCCUCCACUUUGGAGGACAGGAACAGGCAGGCCGCGAGUACAGCGUCCUGUGUGUUAGCAGUGUAGCAGACAGCAGCGCGGCUUGGGUGGGUUCGAGGGCGGGAAAGGCCCGCACCGUGUUUUCCGUCCAGAUUCCAAUGUGGAAGGGCGUUCGCUGCCACAAGUCGCCCAAAUGCUACCCUUAAACUCACAUCUGAAGCGUCUGGGGGCUGGUCCGCGAGGCGCCAUCGGUGCAAGAAGUAAACCGCAGUGGCCACAGCCCGUGGUGGCAUGCGCAGCAGUGUUGCACAUGCUUUUAGGAGACAACACGACCUAAAGUAAGGCACAACGCUGAGGUCUGGAACAUCGGCUGUCUGCAAUUCCUGUGUUGGGUUCUGGUUUGGGUCCAUAUCAAUAUAUGCUUAUAACACAUUUCGUUGGUGAGAUACAUGGCAUGCAACGAGUGACCGCGAAUCCUCGGCCUGGGAUGGUUUGCACGAUCCACCAGAAUUGCAUUCUGUGUGCUGUCAAUUGACGUCCCGGCACGGUAUGUAGAUACAAUUAUCUAUAAGCAAUACAUUUGAGCAUUCAGUGCCAUCAACGGGUGCGUGGCCGCUUUUCCAUAACUUGCGGAGACUGCGCAGGGCGCCGGCCCAGCGAGAAUGCAGUUAGGCCAGCUCGGGCCUCGGGGCCAAGCCUUCGGAUGUCCACAACAAGCAUGUCGCAGGGCGGUGCUGCUCCGGGGUGCGCCCGGCGGCCUCCGGCAUGCUGUGCGCAGCCAUGCCGCUGCCCCGGAGGUGCCAUCGGAGUCCCAGCCGCCCGCAACCGAGCAGCAGUCGCAGCCGCGCAAGCCGGCGGGCCGACGAGCUCUGUUUGGCGGGGGUGCAGCUGCCGAGGGGGAGGGCGCUGCCGGGGCCACCCAUCCGCCGGCCCCUGCGGCCGCGGAGUCGCAAGACGCGCAGUCAUCCGGAACUGCGCCUGCCGCCGCUCCCGCCACCACCGCCAAGGCGCUUGUGAACAUCCACAAGCAGACGCUGAAGGAGGCGGGCAUUGAGGUGGUGAGACGAAUGCUGCUGACGGCUACGCUUUGUGAAUGGGGGCCCGGAGAAUGCGGGGGCGUACUGGGAGCUGAGCGUUC